AGUGAACGCUGGCGGUAGGCCUAACACAUGCAAGUCGAACGGCAGCACAGUAAGAGCUUGCUCUUACGGGUGGCGAGUGGCGGACGGGUGAGGAAUACAUCGGAAUCUACUUUUUCGUGGGGGAUAACGUAGGGAAACUUACGCUAAUACCGCAUACGACCUACGGGUGAAAGCAGGGGAUCUUCGGACCUUGCGCGUUUGAAUGAGCCGAUGUCGGAUUAGCUAGUUGGCGGGGUAAAGGCCCACCAAGGCGACGAUCCGUAGCUGGUCUGAGAGGAUGAUCAGCCACACUGGACCUGAGCCACGGUCCAGACUCCUACGGGAGGCAGCAGUGGGGAAUAUUGGACAAUGGGCGCAAGCCUGAUCCAGCCAUACCGCGUGGGUGAAGAAGGCCUUCGGGUUGUAAAGCCCUUUUGUUGGGAAAGAAAAGCAGCAGGUUAAUACCCCGCUGUUCUGACGGUACCCAAAGAAUAAGCACCGGCUAACUUCGUG
rnacentral:rRNA from 1 species